CCGCCCUGCGCCGUCGCGACCAGAGAAGUCCGCCAGUUGCGCGCCUGGAGCAGGGGACGAUACAGCCAGGUUUAGAUGAUCUUUGAUGCGUAGUGAGUAACAAUGGUUGCCUUGCGUCUAGCACCACCGCCAUCAAUGACUGUCCCGCCGGACAUUACUUGGCUCCGAAACAGUUCUUGAUCACCCAUGAUGGAUGUUAAUGGUUCUGAUGAUGGUAUUUGUACAUAUCGAAGGCCACCAAGAAAUUGAUUUGUGCCAAUUUACCAUGAAUUGCUACCUUUUUUAUCAAGCUCAAAAGCAAGACAACAAAAC